AGAGCGAACGCUGGCGGCAGGCCUAACACAUGCAAGUCGAACGGACCCUUCGGGGUUAGUGGCGGACGGGUGAGUAACACGUGGGAACGUGCCUUUUGGUUCGGAAUAGCUCCUGGAAACGGGUGGUAAUGCCGAAUGUGCCCUUCGGGGGAAAGAUUUAUCGCCAUUAGAGCGGCCCGCGUCUGAUUAGCUAGUUGGUAAGGUAAUGGCUUACCAAGGCGACGAUCAGUAGCUGGUCUGAGAGGAUGACCAGCCACAUUGGGACUGAGACACGGCCCAAACUCCUACGGGAGGCAGCAGUGGGGAAUAUGGACAAUGGGCGAAAGCCUGAUCCAGCCAUGCCGCGUGUGUGAAGAAGGUCUUCGGAUUGUAAAGCACUUUAAGUGGAGGAAGGGCAGUUACCUAAUACGUAUCUGUUUGACGUUACCGACAGAAUAAGCACCGGCUAACUCUGUGCCAGCAGCCGC
rnacentral:rRNA from 1 species